rnacentral:rRNA from 1 species
CAGAUUGAACGCUGGCGGCAUGCUUUACACAUGCAAGUCGAACGGUAACAGGUCUUCGGAUGCUGACGAGUGGCGAACGGGUGAGUAAUACAUCGGAACGUGCCUAGUAGUGGGGGAUAACUACUCGAAAGAGUAGCUAAUACCGCAUGAGAUCUACGGAUGAAAGCAGGGGACCUUCGGGCCUUGUGCUACUAGAGCGGCUGAUGGCAGAUUAGGUAGUUGGUGGGGUAAAGGCUUACCAAGCCUGCGAUCUGUAGCUGGUCUGAGAGGACGACCAGCCACACUGGGACUGAGACACGGCCCAGACUCCUACGGGAGGCAGCAGUGGGGAAUUUUGGACAAUGGGCGAAAGCCUGAUCCAGCAAUGCCGCGUGCAGGAUGAAGGCCCUCGGGUUGUAAACUGCUUUUGUACGGAACGAAAAGCCUGGGGCUAAUACCCCCGGGUCAUGACGGUACCGUAAGAAUAAGCACCGGCUGACUACGUGCCAGCAGCCGCGGUAAUACGUAGGGUGCAAGCGUUAAUCGGAAUUACUGGGCGUAAAGCGUGCGCAGGCGGUUUUGUAAGACAGUGGUGAAAUCCCCGGGCUCAACCUGGGAACUGCCAUUGUGACUGC